UUUUAUGACCAUGGUAGGAAUUUGAAGUGGCCCUUCGAAUGAAAAAGGUUCCCCACCCCUGCAUUAAACCUUUCUUCUAGCCACAGCUCUGCUGUCAGUACAUUUUAUUAUGAUACUAUAAGCUCAGAAAUGAAGUUGAUCAAACAAUUCGAUCGGUGCUAUAAACAUUUAAAUGAACCGAAUAGAAAUCAGAAUAGAAACAUCUGAAUGAUCUUUCUUGGACAUAGCCUACAUUUUGAAGUGACCCUUUGAAUUAAAAAGGUUCCUCACCCCUGCUUUUGAGGAAAAACAUCAAUGUGCUUGGCCACUCUGGUUUUUAAAUUAUUCUGAACUAGCAAGGAUUGUUCAAGGAAGUUCAAAACAGACUGUCUCUGGUUAAAUUAGUUCUACACCAAGCCUUUAGGUGGCAGUACAACUAAUUCGCACAAUGCGAAUUCCACACACAAGCCACAAAGAAGAAGCCAUCUACCGCGGUCAACAACACCGACCUAUCUGAACAACACCACGCGCUGUCUGUGUGGUUUCACUGUUACAAGUUUCUUGGCGAUAUGGGGGAAAGUUCCUCACAUACCAACGGAAAAUGGGCUUCACAUACAUGCUGCUGUCUCAUAAUAUGGCGAAGACGAGUCACUUGAAGGCCUAACAGCUCUUAUGAGGAGCAGUCUUGCCAUAGAAGACUGAAAGAAUGAGCUGUAGAAACAACAGGGUGCCUGCUGCAGUAUGACGAGGACGCCCUGAUCAUAGAAGGUCCAGUGUCUUGGCAGGGUGAAAUGGCACUGAUAUCGUGUCCUGCAGGAUGCUGUGUCCUGCAAUCCUGUGUGCUGUGCUACAGACGCGUGUGGAGGUCAACCCGAAAUGGGCACAGUAGAGUGAAAGAGGAUCCUGGCAGGGAGACGGUAGUGUCCUGCAGGAUGGUGAUGGGCAAUCUUAUAAGAGACCACAGAAAACUGAUAUAGUCUCCCAGAAGUGAGACUGAGUGCCUGUUGCAGUAUGACGAGGAAGCAGUGACCAGAGACCUUCAGUAGACCCUGCUGGCAUGAUUGGCGGCUGAAGAACAUAAUCAACAGCAAUGUUUACUUUAUAAUAUUGUACAUACCUGUAUAGUCUGCACUAAA